CUCGUGCUGAAGAGUCCCAAACCAGGACGAAACAGAUGUCCAGUAC
rnacentral:hammerhead_ribozyme from 1 species